rnacentral:rRNA from 1 species
UACGUAGGGUGCGAGCGUUGUCCGGAAUUAUUGGGGCGUAAAGAGCUUGUAGGCGGUUUGUCGCGUCUGCUGUGAAAAUCCGGGGCUCAACCCCGGACUUGCAGUGGGUACGGGCAGACUAGAGUGUGGUAGGGGAGACUGGAAUUCCUGGUGUAGCGGUGGAAUGCGCAGAUAUCAGGAGGAACACCGAUGGCGAAGGCAG